AAUACGACUCUCGGCAACGGAUAUCUCGGCUCUCGCAUCGAUGAAGAACGUAGCGAAAUGCGAUACUUGGUGUGAAUUGCAGAAUCCCGUGAACCAUCGAGUCUUUGAACGCAAGUUGCGCCCUAAGCCGUUAGGCUGAGGGCACGUCUGCCUGGGUGUCACAC
rnacentral:rRNA from 2 species